rnacentral:rRNA from 2 species
GCUUGCAUCAUGAUUUACAUUUGAGUGAGUGGCGAACUGGUGAGUAACACGUGGGAAACCUGCCCAGAAGCGGGGGAUAACACCUGGAAACAGAUGCUAAUACCGCAUAACAACUUGGACCGCAUGGUCCGAGCUUGAAAGAUGGCUUCGGCUAUCACUUUUGGAUGGUCCCGCGGCGUAUUAGCUAGAUGGUGGGGUAACGGCUCACCAUGGCAAUGAUACGUAGCCGACCUGAGAGGGUAAUCGGCCACAUUGGGACUGAGACACGGCCCAAACUCCUACGGGAGGCAGCAGUAGGGAAUCUUCCACAAUGGACGAAAGUCUGAUGGAGCAACGCCGCGUGAGUGAAGAAGGGUUUCGGCUCGUAAAACUCUGUUGUUAAAGAAGAACAUAUCUGAGAGUAACUGUUCAGGUAUUGACGGUAUUUAACCAGAAAGCCACGGCUAACUACGUGCCAGCAGCCGCGGUAAUACGUAGGUGGCAAGCGUUGUCCGGAUUUAUUGGGCGUAAAGCGAGCGCAGGCG